UAUACGGAGGGUGCAAGCGUUACUCGGAAUCACUGGGCGUAAAGGGCGCGUAGGCGGAUUAUCAAGUCUCUUGUGAAAUCUAAUGGCUUAACCAUUAAACUGCUUGGGAAACUGAUAGUCUAGAGUGAGGGAGAGGCAGAUGGAAUUGGUGGUGUAGGGGUAAAAUCCGUAGAUAUCACCAAGAAUACCCAUUGCGAAGGCGAUCUGCUGGAACUCAACUGACGCUAAGGCGCGAAAGCGUGGGGAGCAAACAGGAUUAGAUACCCUGGUAGUCCACGCCCUAAACGAUGUACACUAGUUGUUGGGAUGCUAGUCAUCUCAGUAAUGCAGCUAACGCAUUAAGUGUACCGCCUGGGGAGUACGGUCGCAAGAUUAAAACUCAAAGGAAUAGACGGGGACCCGCACAAGCGGUGGAGCAUGUGGUUUAAUUCGAAGAUACGCGAAGAACCUUACCUGGGCUUGAUAUCCUAAGAACCUUUUAGAGAUAAGAGGGUGCUAGCUUGCUAGAACUUAGAGACAGGUGCUGCACGGCUGUCGUCAGCUCGUGUCGUGAGAUGUUGGGUUAAGUCCCGCAACGAGCGCAACCCACGUAUUUAGUUGCUAACGGUUCGGCCGAGCACUCUAAAUAGACUGCCUUCGUAAGGAGGAGGAAGGUGUGGACGACGUCAAGUCAUCAUGGCCCUUAUGCCCAGGGCGACACACGUGCUACAAUGGCAUAUACAAUGAGACGCAAUACCGCGAGGUGGAGCAAAUCUAUAAAAUAUGUCCCAGUUCGGAUUGUUCUCUGCAACUCGAGAGCAUGAAGCCGGAAUCGCUAGU
rnacentral:rRNA from 1 species